GGGUCAGUAGGUUGGUCGUGCCACCGGUACGUACUGGUCUCACUGAUUCCUCCUUCCCGAAGAACCGUAAUGCCAUUAAUUUGGUGUUGCGGGGAAACAGGACUGUUACUUUGAAAAAUUAGAGUGUUUAAAGCAAGCUAACGCUUGAAUACAUUAGCAUGGAAUAAUGAAAUAGGACGAUCGAUCCUAUUUUGUUGGUUUCUAGGAUUGACGUA
rnacentral:rRNA from 1 species